AACACAAGAGGCAAAGAUCACUCGGGACCACCUUGUAUAUUGGCUACCACAGAACCCAACACAAGCAGUAAGUUAAAAUCAUGAAGCUCCUGACGUCAGAGGACAUGGCUCUGCCAUUUGUUAGGUAGGGAUCCUGUUAAAGGCUCAGCUUCCUCAUCUGGAAAUGGAAAUAUAGGCCUUGCCUGGUUUGCUGUAAUGGGUCGUGAUGAGGACCAAACUACAAAGAGUGGUACAGAUGUUAAUUACAAUGAUUUUUCCUAUGCCACCCAUGGAAACAAAAAUAGCAAGAUAGAGAAGGCUAAAUCCCAGUUUUUUUUGACUGCUAUUCAGCAAAGCCUAGGAGACUUUCAUGACACCUGGAGAGGCGGCCGUAGUGUAUGUGUAAGAGUACCGGUUCCAGAGUGGGGCUCCCCGAGCUCAGCCCCACCACUUACCAACAGCGGACCUUGGGCCAGAUGCUGAAGCCCUUUGUGCCUUGGUUUCCUGACCUAUUACUGUGGAAAUGAUGACAGUACCCUCCUCAUGGCAUCGUGAGAAUUAAAUUAGCUAAUUCAGGUGAAGCAUUUAGAAGAGGACCUCCUGACACUUAAUAACUGCUUGAUAUAAAUAAUAGCUUCUGCUACAGAGUGGCCAUGAAGUCUGGACAUGUAGAUAUUAUAUUAUCAUGCAUCAUAAGGUAGUUGAUCUGGUGUGAGAUUCCAACCUCGUGUGAGAGAGGAGAAGACCUUCAUUACACUAAUUCAUGCUGGCCCAGCCUCCAGGCCACCCCAGAUGUGAGGUGCUGUUAACACUGCUCUCAGCCGUUCUUUCCCAAGUUACCUCUCUCAGAUUCCUGCAGAAAAGCCUGAGUGCCAGCCUCCAGCUCUGGAUAAGAUUCUCCAAGAGUGGUUCUCAAUCUUGCAGAAACUCAGAAUCUCCUAGGAGCUCAAAACAACACCACCAACAACAACAACACCUCUUCUCCAAGCCGCAGACUCAGGAAAUGUGAUUCAUUCAAUCUGCCUGGGGUGGUCUAGGCAUAGUACUUUCUUUACCUUCUAUCGCAUUAGCACUGCAAUGAAUGCUGCUGCACACGCUGUUGAGCUCGUGGACACUUUCCUGCUGGGUGAGGACCCGAACGUGAAAUUGCUGGGUCAUGGAUUCAAGUGCUACACAUAUUUUUGACCACAUUACUGUGACUCAGGAAGCCCAGGAACAGAAUUCUAGGCACCAGAACCAUACAUGUUACAGCCUCUGAGCUUUAUGGCCUCUGAGCCAUUUGUCCAGCCACAUCAUUUGCAGAUGAGAUCCUGAGACUCAGGCUGGAAAAGUGACCGGGGAAAAGUCACACAAGUCAGAGGCAGAGCUGGAGUUUCCUCAUUUCCAGGCCCGUAUAGAUCAAGACGGACGUUGGUCAAACACCUCCUAGUACUCACAUGAAGAAGCUCUCCUUUCUGCUGUAGGAAUGAUCACACACCAUUCCAAUCUGGAUACCAAAUGUCAUUGUUUAUUAAAUGUGUGCAGUGUGCCAGG
ensembl:lncRNA LINC01968 long intergenic non-protein coding RNA 1968